GGGAGGGAUUAAGGGAGGAGCAAAACUGAGACUCAAGGUCAGAAAAGACAACAGAUGAUGAAGAGGAAGGGCCAAUGAUGUGAAGGCCCAGAUCCAUCAGAGUAUCAAUGUUCUUCCUCUCUCUCCUCCCCUCUCACUGCAGACAUGAACCACUGGCUGAGAAACAUCCUGAUUCUGACUCUCUGGCUAGAGUGUAAAGGAGAAGACAGAGUGACCCAGCCAGCAGGAGAUGUCAUUGCUGCUGAAGGAGACACAGUUACACUUGGCUGUACUUUUGAGACGAGUAGAGCAAGUCCAACGUUGUUCUGGUACAAACAAGAAGUAAAUGAGUCUCCUAAGUACAUGCUGAAAAGUUACUCAAAAACAACAGAUUUUGCUGCAGAGUUCACGAAAGACAGAUUUAAUGCUACAAUCAAGGAUAAGUCAGUUCCUCUGAAGAUCCAGAAGCUUCAGCUGUCUGACUCUGCUGUGUACUACUGUGCUCUGCAGCCCACAGUGACAGGAAACACCAAAACUCUGUACAAAAACCUUUGGAGCAAAGACAACAGAAUACUCCACAACGUCCACUAGAGGGAGUCACACACUGUUAAACUUCAGUGUGAUGAUGAAGUCUGGAUUUAUUUCAACUUGAACAAAUUCAUGUAUUACUGUCAAUAUAAUGUAUGUACUGUUGUACUCCAGUAUUGGAGAAAAGCAUUUUCACAGUUUGAAAGAAGCAG